UACGUAGGGGGCAAGCGUUGUCCGGAAUUAUUGGGCGUAAAGCGCGCGCAGGCGGCUAUUUAAGUCUGGUGUUUAAACCUUGGGCUCAACCUGAGGUCGCACUGGAAACUGGGUGGCUUGAGUUCAGAAGAGGAAAGUGGAAUUCCACGUGUAGCGGUGAAAUGCGUAGAUAUGUGGAGGAACACCAGUGGCGAAGGCGACUUUCUGGGCUGUAACUGACGCUGAGGCGCGAAAGCGUGGGGAGCAAACAGG
rnacentral:rRNA from 1 species